rnacentral:rRNA from 1 species
UUGUGACCCCAGGUCAGGCGGGACUACCCGCUGAGUUUAAGCAUAUCAAUAAGCGGAGUAA